rnacentral:rRNA from 1 species
AAUGUACGCUGGCUGCAGUCCUAUAACAUGAACGUCGAACGAGUGGCGGACGGGUGAGUAAUGUAUGGGAAACUGCCUGAUGGAGGGGGAUAACUACUGGAAACGGUAGCUAAUACCGCAUACCAUCAGAUGUGCCCAGAUGGGAUUAGAUUGUUGGUGGGGUAACGGAUCACCAAGGCGACGAUCCCUAGCUGGUCUGAGAGGAUGACCAUCCACACUGGAACUGAGACACGUGCCAGACUCCUACGGGAGGCAGCAGUGGGUAAUAUUGCACAAUGUGCGCAAGCCUGAAGCAGCCAUGCCGCUUGUAUGAAGAAGGCCUUCUGUUUGUAAAUUACUUUCAGCAGGGACGCGUUGCCCGUAGAAGAAGCACCGGCUGACUCCGUGCCAGCAGCCGCGGUAAUUC